rnacentral:rRNA from 1 species
AGUGGCGAACGGGUGAGUAACACAUGAACAACUACCUGAUGACUGGGAUAACGAUCUGAAAAGAUACGCUAAUACCGGAUAGGUAGCGGAAGGGCAUCCUUCUUCUAUUAAAGUUAGGGGUUCACAACACAACAGGGAUGGGUUCAUGUCGCAUUAGUUAGUUGGUGAGGUAACGGCCCACCAAGACGAUGAUGCGUAGCCGAUCUGAGAGGAUGAACGGCCCACAUUGGGACUGAGACACGGCCCAGACUCCUACGGGAGGCAGCAGUAGGGAAUUUUCGGCAAUGGGGGAACCCUGACCGAGCAACGCCGCGUGAACGAUGAAGGUCUUUGGAUUGUAAAGUUCUGUUACGAGGGAAGAAUGUUGAGUAUAGGGAAUGAUACUCAAGUGACGGUACCUCGCCAGAAGCCACGGCUAACUACGUGCC